UUUUCUGAGCACCACACUCUCAUGGCACGGAGCUGUAAUAAGGUAAUACCGGAACAAGUAACGUUUUGACGAGUAGGACAAAUUCAUGAGUAUAUUGAACUAUGAGAUGAACGGAAGGCUGCAUUGAGUGAUCUUUAUUAUGAGUGCGCGCAUAACGUAACUUUCUCCCCAGGACGAAUGACCUUCCUUUGUUUACAUGGUGAAGUUUAUUGGUAUGCGUUUUCUCCAUGUUUUCAAAUAUCUUCGUUUCAUUUCCACACGGCCAAGGAAUUUCCCAAACCGAAGGAGUGUUGAGUAACCACUGUCACCGGACACCCAAACUUGCUGGCGACCUAUCCAUGACAAAGAUUAACUACAACGGGUUCUUUCCCGUGCCUGAUGAGCUUAUCUUUAGGCGUUAAGUAUAUCAGAGUUUUGACAUCAAACUGUCGGGCAUAUGUCACGGUUAUCAAAAGGUAAAUUUGGGUUUCAAAAUGAAACAGUGGUGACUCUGUACUUGCGGCGUCCCUCAAAGUAUCGCAUAUAUAAGGGCUGAGGAGCUCCCUGUCAGUAUUCCCUAUCCACUCUUCGUCCCUUCACCAUGAAGCUGAUGUCUGUGCUGGUGGCCUUGCUGGUGUCUCUGUUAGCGCUGGUUCAAGUAAGCUGGACGAUGCCCGCCCCUGACGCCGCCGCCGAACCUAUCGACAACAUAACCCUGAAGCGAUACUUAGUUUAUCGUAAACUCAUCGCGCCUGAACUCGCCCGUCGCUUCCAGAAGACAACCUUGAACACAGUGACGGUGCGGCGGCGCCCCGCGCGUAAUAGACCCGGCCCAUUACGCAAGCUGAAUGGAUAGUCUUAGUGACACUGCCCACACCACUGUUCUGCUUGUAGUGCUAUUGAGAGGAAUGUGCUGCCCCGACCCUCUUCUAGUGUGUCGGUGGCCCUCACCUGUGACAUGACGGCACUGCUACUCUGAGGCCCUCUAGUAUGCAUGUGUGUGUGUGUGAUGAACUCCAGCGUACCUGAGUAUACAUGUGUUUAUGUUUGCAUAGUUUCAUCAACCUGUUCAUGGAUGGAAACAACUCGACAAAUAAUAAUUGAUGCUUCGGUUUACUAUCACUGUUUGCCUAACACACAUUCACACGUCAUGUUUUGUCACGAGCUGUGGUGAAACCUGCAUGGCAAAUGACACCAAAUAAGGAUUUUACAAUGAUUGUAAUAUAAUAAGACUUAACAUA